rnacentral:rRNA from 1 species
UACAGAGGUCUCGAGCGUUGUUCGGAUUCAUUGGGCGUAAAGCGCACGUAGGCGGUUCGUUAAGUCGGAUGUGAAAGCCCUCGGCUCAACUGAGGAAGUGCACCCGAAACUGGCGAGCUUGAGUACGAAAGAGGAUCGCGGAAUUCCCGGUGUAGAGGUGAAAUUCGUAGAUAUCGGGAGGAACACCGGUGGCGAAGGCGGCGAUCUGGGUCGAUACUGACGCUGAGGUGCGAAAGCGUGGGGAGCAAACAGG